rnacentral:rRNA from 1 species
CAGCAGCCGCGGUAAUACGUAGGGUGCAAGCGUUAUCCGGAAUUAUUGGGCGUAAAGAGCUCGUAGGCGGUUUGUCGCGUCUGCUGUGAAAACUGGAGGCUCAACCUCCAGCCUGCAGUGGGUACGGGCAGACUAGAGUGCGGUAGGGGAGAUUGGAAUUCCUGGUGUAGCGGUGGAAUGCGCAGAUAUCAGGAGGAACACCGAUGGCGAAGGCAGACCUCUGGGCCGUAACUGACGCUGAGGAGCGAAAGCGUGGGGAGCGAAUAGGAUUAGAUACCCGGGUAGUCCCUGUCUCUUAUAC